rnacentral:rRNA from 1 species
UCCAGAGGUCUCAAGCGUUGUUCGGAUUCAUUGGGCGUAAAGGGUGCGUAGGUGGCGCCAUAAGUCAGGUGUGAAAUCUCGGGGCUCAACCCCGAAACUGCAUUUGAUACUGUGGUGCUCGAGUACUGGAGAGGAGAUUGGAAUUUACGGUGUAGCAGUGAAAUGCGUAGAUAUCGUAAGGAAGACCAGUGGCGAAGGCGAAUCUCUGGACAGUUACUGACACUGAGGCACGAAGGCCAGGGGAGCAAACGGG